AGCCCCGUAGUGUAGCGGUCAAUCAUGUAGGACUCUGGAUCCUAUGACGGCAGUUCGAAUCUGCCCGGGGCUA
rnacentral:tRNA from 1 species